AUUGAACGCUGGCGGCAGGCUUAACACAUGCAAGUCGAGCGAGCGGCGGCCGGGUGAGUAAUGUCUGGGAAACUGCCUGAUGGAGGGGGAUAACUACUGGAAACGGUAGCUAAUACCGCAUCCCGUCAGAUUUGCCCACAUGGGAUUAGCUAGUAGGUGGGGUAAUGGCUCACCUAGGCGACGAUCCCUUGCUGGUCUGAGAGGAUGACCAGCGACACUGGAACUAGGACACGGGCCAGACUCCUACGGGAGGCAGCAGGGGGGAAUAUUGUACAAUGGGCGCAAGCCUGAUGCAGCCAUGCGGCGUGGGUGAAGAAGGCCUUCGGGUUGUAAAGCACUUUCAGCGAGGAGGGGUUACUCGCAGAAGAAGCACCGGCUAACUCCGUGCCAGCAGCCGCGGUAAUAC
rnacentral:rRNA from 1 species